rnacentral:lncRNA from 1 species
AUCUCUUAUAUUGGCAGGCAGAUUCUUUACCACUGAGCCACUAGGGAAGCCUUCCCCUCCUCUUCUUGGGAUUGCCCCCUUCUUGGUCCCUGACUGACUGCUGUAUCAGAAGCCUUUGCCAGGCUUUUUUUUUUUUUUUCAGCUCCUGGAGAAACAUUUGCUGCCUCGUGUGUUCUGCCUAUAGCAAAGGGCCCAAGUGUGGGCACACGAACAUAUGGAGUCUUAAAUGGAGCAUCUGAGACCACCCUUCUUGGGAAAAGACUAUAGCCUUUUGGUGGAGUGCAGAAGGUUGCUGAGUACUUGCCCAGAUCACCAAGAACGUGGAAUCCAUUUUGUGGAGACAGAUACUUUUAAUCAAAAACUGGAAGCAGAUGGAAUUUAUACAAUGAGGAAAGCAGACAGAGGAAGUGGAUCGGAAUGGUGACCACAGCUGCAGUCCGGCAGUGAGUUCCGGCAGAUCCCAACAGAAGGUGCUGAACUCCUUGGACUAGAUUAAGAGAAGAGAAAACUGCUUUGGAGUCUCAGAAAACCUGGCUUUGAAUGUGGGCGCUGCUAUUUGUGAAUUAUAUAAAUUUGAGCAAGUUACUUCUUUGGAGACUCAGUUACUUCAUCUAUGAACUGGGCACAAGAUUUUUGUGAAUUUUUGGAG